AGUGAGCGCUGGCGGUAGGCCUAACACAUGCAAGUCGAACGGCAGCACAGUAAGAGCUUGCUCUUACGGGUGGCGAGUGGCGGACGGGUGAGGAAUACAUCGGAAUCUACUUUUUCGUGGGGGAUAACGUAGGGAAACUUACGCUAAUACCGCAUACGACCUACGGGUGAAAGCAGGGGAUCUUCGGACCUUGCGCGAUUGAAUGAGCCGAUGUCGGAUUAGCUAGUUGGCGGGGUAAAGGCCCACCAAGGCGACGAUCCGUAGCUGGUCUGAGAGGAUGAUCAGCCACACUGGAACUGAGACACGGUCCAGACUCCUACGGGAGGCAGCAGUGGGGAAUAUUGGACAAUGGGCGCAAGCCUGAUCCAGCCAUACCGCGUGGGUGAAGAAGGCCUUCGGGUUAUAAAGCCCUUUUGUUGGGAAAGAAAAGCAGCAGGUUAAUACCCCGCUGUUCUGACGGUACCCAAAGAAUAAGCACCGGCUAACUUCGUG
rnacentral:rRNA from 1 species